rnacentral:tRNA from 1 species
UCCCAGCUGGCUCAGUGGGUAAAGAAUCCGCCUGCAGUGCAGGAGAUCUGGGUUCGAUCCCUGGGUUGGGAA